AAUGGCUGCAGUAAUUUGACUGUACAAAGGUAGCAUAAUCAUUAGUUUUUUAAUUAAAAGCUUGUAUGAAAGGUUGGACGAAAUAAAAUCUGUCUCUUUUUAAUAUAAUUAGAAUUUAAUUUUUAAGUUAAAAAGCUUAAAUAAAUUUAAAAGACGAGAAGACCCUAUAGAGUUUAAUAAUUUUUUUUUAUUAAUUAAUUUAGAUUUAUUUAUUUUAUUUUAAAAAAAUUAUUUUAUUGGGGUAAUAGAAAGAUUUAAAUAAUUCUUUUUUAAAUAAAUCAUUAAUUUAUGAAAAUUUAUGAUCCAUUGAAUUUUGAUUAUAAGAUUAAAUUACCUUAGGGAUAACAGCGUAAUUUUUUUUAAGAGUUCAUAUCGAUAAAAAAGUUUGCGACCUCGAUGUUGGAUUAAAGAUUAAUUUAGGUGUAGAAGUUUAAAUUUUUGGUCUGUUCGACCAUUGAAUCUUUACAUGAUCUGAGUUCAAACCGGUGUAAGCCAGGUCGGUUUCUAUC
rnacentral:rRNA from 1 species